rnacentral:rRNA from 1 species
UACAGAGGGUGCGAGCGUUGUCCGGAAUCACUGGGCGUAAAGGGCGCGUAGGUGGCGACCCAAGUCGAUGGUGAAAGCUCGCCGCUCAACGGCGAGUCGGCCACCGAUACUGGGUUGCUGGAGCACUGUAGAGGCAGAUGGAAUUCCGGGUGUAGCGGUGGAAUGCGUAGAGAUCCGGGAAGAACACCGGUGGCGAAGGCGGCUACCUGGACCGGUU